AUUUUGAUUACAAGUUUGUUCUUUCAUAGUACAAGAAAACAUGAUAACUAAUCAAAAUAAUAGACGAGUCUUGACUGCUCUGUCUUCUCUAAACCUUGCAUCAGCACCUGUCUAUUUGUAACCUGAGAAUACAAGUUAUUUUGAAAGCGAGUAUCAGCAAUAAAGCUGGUGAAUUCAUAAGUAUUUUAAUGUUAUUGCUUUGAAAAGUUGUUAUGAAAGACUGGUGAAUGUUUGAUGAAACAUUUAGUAUAAGUAUGAAAAACCCUAGAAAAUCCCAUAUUUCCUACUAGUAUAAAAAGUAGUCUUCUACCAAGACCUGAAUGUUUUGAAGGUAGUCUUCUACCAAGACCUGAAUGUUUUGAAAGUAGUCUUCUACCAAGACCUGAAUGUUUUGUAAGUAGUCUUCUACCAAGACCUGAAUGUUUUGAAAGUAGUCUUCUACCAAGACCUGAAUGUUUUGUAAGUAGUCUUUUACCAAGACCUGAAUGUUUUGAAAGUAGUCUUCUACCAAGACCUGCCCGUUUUUAAAUAUUUGUUUCUAAAAGUCCAACAUUUAUCCAUAAGUGUGUGGUAGUUUAAAAGUUCCAAAACUAUAACACAAUGAUGUUUUUCAUGCCUAAAUAAUAGAUUUAUGUAUGUAUAAAAUCGCCAAGGCACUUGACGACUCUGUAAACCAAUAUAUUUUUAAUACUUCCUGUGAGUCUUUGUUUAAGUAAAACUGGUUAAAAGGGUGUUUAUCCCAAAUUGUGAACAUGCUAAUAUUAUCCCAUGGUGUAGUUAUUACCCCCUGAGCAUGAUUGAGUUAAAUGUAUACAACUACGUACAAGAGUUGUUGUUUCUGCGUGUUAUGAGUUCCUCAUAACCAUACUAGACGCAGUACCUAUGUUGACAUUUGUCACCCUGGGAACUGUAGCUAAUAGUCAGGGUGCGGAGUCGUCAGCCCCGUAUAGAUCUAUACACACUUGUCACGCUCUCCCUCCAAGAGACUUUGGUUAUAGGUGGGGACUUUUGUUUUGGUACUAACAAAGCCAUUGUCUCACAUGUUUGCUAACAACAAGUUCACGAGUAAUAUAACGAAAUGCCUUUUUAUAUGAAAAGAUUAUCCUUGUUAUGAAAAUACAUACUUGUAAAUAAGACGUUGGUAUAGACUCAUGAAUGAACUGACUCUUGUGUGAUUCCUUGUAAUAGGAAUAAUGUUUUAUAUCUCCUAAACUAUUCCUAUAAUAGUUUACUAGAAUGUAAUUGAUGAGUGUCCAAGUAGGUUUAUACACCCUUGCUACCCAAGAGUGUCGGAACUGAAUUAACUGAUGGAACAUUUAUGACUAUAUAUGUACACAUGAUAUAUAACUAAUAUUUAAACGACCUUCGGACGGGUACCCGAUAUCCCACCAGACCACAUCCAAAUCGAGGAAAAGGAAACAGGGUGGAUAGCCUUCCUAAGUCUUUUAAACAUUAUUUAUAUAACUAUACAUAUAGAGGCAUGCAAUUUAUAAUAUAAAAACAUAAAAGAAGUUUCGUAAAACCUUUGAAAAGUUUAAUAAAUAAGAAUUUGUGACUUGAUGUCAGUUUAUAAAAUGAUUCGAAAACAGUUGACAACACAGUUUAAGUGUAAGAAAACCUUUGUUUGAUGCACAACUAUAACAUAUUAAAAAAGGAAACAUACAGUUUGUAAGACAAUUUUCUAAAAGUGUUUUCACAUGUAAAAACAUUUGAGAAAGCUAUUUGAAGUACUCUGUGUGGUUAAACGGCUAAAAGUGUAGUAAGUCCAAUUGUAUGUUAGUUAUAAAUCACAUGUGAUUGAUUUCAUAACCAAAAAGUAUAACAAAGAUUUAUGUCUUUCACACGAGGAUAACUGUGUUUUUACUUGUAUUCCCCCCCCCCCUUAAAAGUGUAUAAAAAGCAUUUAUAACGCAUUUGAAAGUGUAGAUUAUAGGGGUAUGAACUCACUUGUUUGAAGUGGUUGAUUUGAAGUAGUCGAGAGAAGAAUCGAGCAGAACUUCGACAGGAAGAGUUGAAAACGCGGGAAAAUCUCGGGAUACUCGGGAAUCUCGGGAACAAAAAACCUUCCUUCGGGACUUGAAGGUGAAAACCGGGGCUUUGAGAGGGUCUCGGGGGCAUAAACGUAGAGUUUCGGCGCGAGAAAGAAGGGAACUGAGCAAUGGAACUCGGAGCCCUUGAAAUCUAUUUAUAGGGGCAUUUUUGGGGUGUGCCACGUCGUGGCAAGUGAUGGCCACGUUGUGGGGAGUCAAACUUAUCCUCUUCCAUUGAUUGGACACCCUCAGUCACUUGUCGGGUCGUGGAAAGCUUGUGCCACGUCGUGGCAAGCUUGACAGCCUCGGAUUUCGGGCCUCGAACUUGUAAAAUCCAUAACUUUCGCGUACGAGCUCCGUUUUCGACAUUCUUUAUAUGCACGCGUAGCUAAAAAUAUGAUCUACAACUCUCGUUUAGACUUCAUCGGCAAAUUUUGAUUUUAUUUUUAAUUAUUUAUUUUUAACGGGCCGGGACACGAAAAGUCCGUUAAAAUUCCAUAACUUCUUCAUCCGAUGUCCGUUUUCGUCAAAAUUUUCGCCGUUGUGCUACUAUUUUUGAGACCUUCAAUUCUCAUUUAGUUUGUUUCGGUGAAAAGUCUCUCGAGCUCUAUUUCGAGUUUUUAGCUGUCUACUGCUAUAUCCUGAUCUUGGAAAAAUCAUAACUUCCUUAUACGAAGUUAGAUUUGGACGUUCUUUUUAUGUACGCUCACGGUUUAAUGUUAUCUACAACUCUCAUUUAGAUACUUAAGGCUAAAAAUUAUUGUAUUGAAACUUCGGGUUUUUCAUUUAAUCGGUGUUGCCGGUUUUGUCCGGAAUUUUAGAAUGGUUAUAACUUCCUCGUUAUAACUCGGAUUUUUGUGUUCUUUAUAUGUAUGAAAACCUUGAUACGAUUCCUACCACUUUAUUUAACCCAAAUAAGAUUUUAGGAAAGUUAUAUUUUGACCUAAAUUUGACUGGUGUUAUAUUACAUUGUCUCGAAAUAUCGGGUUGUCACAUCAUCCCCCCGUUAGAGGGAAUUUCAUCCCGAAAUUAGAGUUUAAGCAAGACUUAAUAAUUAUGUUACAGAUAGAAGUUUUAUUUGCUUCUCGUGUUCUUAACUGAACUCAGGUUCUCGCUUGGCAUUCCAGCGAACCUUUCACUAUCAGGAUACGACUUUGCUUCUUUCGUUUGACUUCACUGGUAUGAUAACUCUUCUUCGUUGAAUGUGUGUUGAGUGUUUUUGUGGUCUGUGAGAGUAUUACACCUUGUACCCUACAAGUAGUGUCUCCAGAUCUUUAGAGCAAUUACCGUUGCUCCUGACUCAAGAUCAUGUGUUGUAUAAUUAACUUCUUGCGUCUUAAGCUAUCUUGAGGCAUAGGAAGUGACCUUUCCUCGUGCAUAAGAAUACAACCAAGCCCUUGGUUGGAUGCAUUGUAUUACCCCACGAAAUAUUCUAUCCCUUUUGGGAGGGAUAAUAUUGGUGCGAUGCAUCAGGCUUACUUUAGCGUUUGGAACGCUCUUUCUUGUUUACAGACAAGUUCGAUGCUCCUCCAAGUGAGAAACUUGGCCUAAAGAAUCCCCUUCUGAGGAGUUUGUUAAGCUCGUUAGGAAGUUCUUGCAUCUCAGUUGGAGCUAGAUGAUAAGGUGAUUUGGCUACUGGGGUAGCCCCUGGAACUAAGUCGAUUCUGAAUUCGACUUGACGUUGUGGUGGUAAUCCCGGUAGUUCUUUUGGAAAGGUGUUGGGAAAGUCGCAUACUUUUGGGAUGUUCUGAAUGUCCUUCGCUUCUUGGCUCGUAUCGACGAUGUGUGAAAGGAAUGUGUGAUAUUCCCUUCGUAAGCGCUUUUGAGCUUAAAUACACGAAAUGAUGCGAAGGUUCGUACUUUAUUUGUCUCCGUAAAUAACAAGAGGUUCUUUGAUAGGGAGGUUAAGAUGAACUGCUUUUUCAAAGCACCUGAUGUCGGCUCAAUGUGGACUUAACCAACUCCUACUGAUUAUGAUGUCAAAACCUUAGGGUAGAUUAGAUGUCGUGAAGAUCUAAAAGAAAGUAUGACUACUCAUGAAUUAGGGAAAAGGAUAGAUAUUUCUAAGUUUAUUCCCACGGAAGCACGAUCACUCACAGUCUUGGGCAGUCUCCGUCCAGAAGUUCAUAGUAGAACUCAUACCUGGUUCAUCAAUCACAGUCUCGGGUAUACGAGUCGUAUAUAAUUAAGAUUGAAACUGUGGGUCUUUGGAUUGAACUUGACGUACUGCACGAGUGGUACUUCGGGGAGGUUUGCUGAGGUUUCUUUGGAAAGGGUAAGAAACAUGAGGUACUCUACGCACGGAGUUCUGAAGUGAUAGUUUCGUUAGAAAGAUUAUUUCGUAGAAAGAGAUUUACGCACGAAACUGGUAUUGUGAGGAUCAAAUAGACUCUGAUCAUAUGAUGAAACCGGAAUCACUUGGAAAUAAAGACACGAGAUUUGAUCAUAAAGGCGUUACAGAUAAAACACAACAGUGCAACUUUUUAACAGAGUUACAGUACUUUAGAGUAACUAUAGGAAUACUACUGCGAACAAAGUAUACUAUAAAAGGCAAGUAUACGCAGCACGAGGGUCCCUUAACUGACGGGAUCUCGCAAAAGAUAAGACUCAAGUUGCACUAGUUCUAAACAUGUUUUAAAAACAUACAUAAUACUGACGAUUAGAAGUGAACUUAUACUAUAGUAGGGUCCUUCGUUGCCUCUUUCCAUUAUGAGGUCAAACUCCUCCGGAUUCACCAUCAUUCUCCUAUGUUGGGUAGUCCCUCUUGAAGUGUCCCAUUACGCCACAUAGAUGGCAUAUUCGAGAGGUUUCGACAUCUGUGGUUGAAGUAAUGUGUUGGAUCCGAGUCCUGCAACAAUUCGUAGUAUGUCCGUUCUUGUUGCAUUGAAAGUAGUGUAACAGACGACAACUACCCAGAUGAUGGAAGCUGCACUUAUUGCAUUUCGGUAGGUUUCCGGCAUACUGCCUAGCUGGUGUAGGGACAAUUGGGAUACCAGAAUGGAUGGUAGUAGGAGGUAUAUAUGUUGUGGCUACGAAGGUUGCCGCAGGUUUUUGUCUUUUGCUCGCCCCUUGGGGUGAUUUGCCUUUAGCCUUAGCCCAGAACUUUCGUUUGUUAUUCUUGGGCUUGAGAUUUACGGUGUCGUGGUAGUUUGUUGCUCGUGGGUCAGAAUAGCUGACACGGCAACCGAGACUGCAGCUUGAAAGGUAGCGGCAUCAAUCUAAAGAGUUGGUGUUUGGUUGAUGGGUUGAUCAUUUUUCUUCGGCAACAUGAUUCUGUUACACGGAAAGAAAAAUGAAUUUGUGAGCGAGUAUGGUUGAACCUAGACGUAGUUCGAUCGUUCAUGUAAAGGAUAGAAGUAUGUUCUCGAAGGUUUGACCUACAUCCCUAUGAUGCAGUCCCAGUAUAGAGUAGAAGUAAAUUAAUAGAAUGGUCUCAAAAUGCUUAUCGUCCAAAUCAGGGUAUUAUUGGCUGGUGGAUAACAUGAUCCAACCUUUGAAAGAGACUUGGAACUGAUUCCGGAGUUAAAUUACCAUAGUCCAAUAACUUGACUCGAUGGGGUUUAGAUAGACUCCAAUGAAAGCAUGAUGUAAGCAUUUGAACAAAGAUUGACACGUAAGUUAGCCGACUGUUGAUAUCAUUGAUAUUUAAGAUUUAAUAGGUUUGGGGAAAUUGACCUUGUUGUAGGUCUUACAUCGUAUUCGGAGUAGAAAAGUCUUCAACAUCAUAAGGACUUAAAUAAAAGUACUUAAAGUACAAGGUAAUUACAUAGGAAGUACUACACAGAACGUUGACAGGAACACGGUUCUUUAAAACAAAGAAGUAAGUAAGGUAUCUCCUACUGGCGAUGGUCACCCCUAUGGUGAACCCUUAGUUCGGUUUAGUUGACGUUCCAUAUCAAGUAGGUAUCUCUCGUACACCCUCUGGUGUACUUAGAGCUCUUAUGACUUCGGUUCGGGUUUCAUCUAGUGCUUGCAGCAGGGUCUCAUGGUUUCUCUCAAAUCUCUCACUUGUGAUCAAGGCGAUUUGUGCGAGUGGUAUGCAUUCUUGCACUGGUAUUAACCUCUUCGAUACGUUGGAGAGCCGUUCUGCCUUGAAUUUCGUUUUGGGCAACUCUACGGAUCAGGAUCGGUAGAACUCUGUCUGCUGAUCUCCCUUCGUUUACGUUGUAGAAGCUUUGGUCUCCAUUAAACCGCAUAGGUUAAUCUUGCUCUUCGCUCCAUGUUUCCACACAUUCUACCCAAGGAGGCUUCGGGCAAUGAAAUGCCGGUCGAGGGUUAGGAUUUGGAAAUGGAGCUACCGGGGGUAGGUUCUCAACCUCAGGUUCGGAGUUAUCAACAUUCGAAAGGUUUUCAGCAUGGUGAUCAUUCAAAGUGAUUAGAUGAUCAUUCUCUGGUCCUUCUCCAAACCAUCCAGCAAUGACUUCGCUUGGAAAGUACGGGUUGCCAUGGGGAUGGAGUCCAGCCAUGUUAUCUACGCGAGAAUUGGGGUAAGUAAAUAAUUAUUAGACGAACUAUCUAGAUAAUUAUUAGAAAAUCUUCAUUAGUUACAUCGCUAUUUGUAAAGUCCAUACCAGUCAUAUGUAAUCAACACAUGAUAGGCUUUCGAAUAAGUGACCUUAACUCCAAAUUCACAAGGAAUAAGGGUAAAGCAAAAAAUUUCACCGAUUCUAAGUCUAUAACAUCCUAGGUACAUAUAGCCUUAGUGUAUCCACUUAGAAACUAUCAACUUAGCAAUGAAUAUCCUUUUUAGUUCUCAAGUAAGUAAUUAUGGUAACCCAAAAACACCCCUAUGGUAUUUUAGACUUAGGUUCUGUUAUAAUGUUCUCAUUGUGGUAAUGUUGGUAAGUUUUUAGACUUGUUGCCAUAUCACAACCAUUCUUGGGCAUAUGCUAAUCACUCCUCGGACCAGCAUAGUUGAUCAGGCUAUGCCACUCCCAAGACUGACUAUACAUCCCCAAGCUUACUUGUGAUAUUCGACAAUCGUAAUACUUCUGUUCUUGUCGUUGUGACACCGAUUUUAGUAUGAAUGCAGGCACGUAUGCUUACUUAAAUAUUUUAUUAUUUAAAAGUAUUAACUCUAAAUAAGAGUAUUUUAAUCCCAAUGUAUUUAUAGUUAGUAUAUCUUUUAUGGGUUGAUAUACUAUAUUCACUAUAAAAAAUGCUCUGAUACCAAUUUGUCACACCCCAAAACCGAGAACGGCGGAAACGUUCUUGGGCGGAGGACGUCAUGUAAUGUAUCACAACAAAUGUAAAGUAGUAAACAAGCAACAACAUCAUCCAUUGCAUUAAUAGUAUAAUUUUGAUUACAAGUUUGUUCUUUCAUAGUACAAGAAAACAUGAUAACUAAUCAAAAUAAUAGACGAGUCUUGACUGCUCUGUCUUCUCUAAACCUUGCAUCAGCACCUGUCUAUUUGUAACCUGAGAAUACAAGUUAUUUUGAAAGCGAGUAUCAGCAAUAAAGCUGGUGAAUUCAUAAGUAUUUUAAUGUUAUUGCUUUGAAAAGUUGUUAUGAAAGACUGGUGAAUGUUUGAUGAAACAUUUAGUAUAAGUAUGAAAAACCUUAGAAAAUCCCAUAUUUCCUACUAGUAUAAAAAGUAGUCUUCUACCAAGACCUGAAUGUUUUGAAGGUAGUCUUCUACCAAGACCUGAAUGUUUUGAAAGUAGUCUUCUACCAAGACCUGAAUGUUUUGUAAGUAGUCUUCUACCAAGACCUGAAUGUUUUGAAAGUAGU
rnacentral:lncRNA from 1 species